rnacentral:lncRNA from 1 species
GGGGAAAGUAACAGUACUUGUGAUCCCAAUUUUACUAUCAACCAGCUUGUUUCAAAAUAAAUGUCCAAUUUGUCUCCAGCAAUUCUGGGUAGCACAAUUAUUUUCACUCGUCCUGUAAAGUCUGCCAACAUUACUAAAAAUUUUGCUAGCAAAAUGUUGGGCAUGAUAAUACCCCUUUACAAGAUUUCAUUGAUUGGAACAUCAUUUGGAAUGGCUCACGUGCUCUGGUCCAACUUUUGGAACAUUUUGUUGGUAUUGGCCCUUUUUAGGGAAGUGAUAAUACCACUCCACACAAUUUCAUCUCUAAACUCAAAUUAGUUAAAAGUAUAAAGACAAACAUUUCACAGCUGGAGAAGUGUCUUUUAGUACCAGGUCUAAACCCCCUCUAGUACUGGUUUCGAAACCGGUACCACUAUGUGGGUAUUAAAGGGGGCCUCACCAACCGGUACUAAACUGUUUUCCACCCAAAAAAAUAAAGAAAAAAUUUGUUGAAUGGCUGGGAGGCAUGUGCCAUGUCGCAAGUCAUAAGUCACGUGAUUUUCAUGCAUGCGUACUGCAUGGGAUUCAAACCCACGACCUCAAGCCUCGUGCAACCCUUCCUUACCAACUCACCUACAUAACACAUCUAGAGUUAGAUAUGAUUUUAUUUUGAAAUAACCCGUGAAGAGGUCUUUAGUUUCGGGUCAUAACAUCAUCCGUGGUGGUGUGAUCGGGUUAAAAUGUGACCGGUACUAACACAUGGGACGACAGAAGGUCAUAUAUAUUUUAGUAGUGUUUGUUGAUUUUGGGCAUGAUCUAUCUGCACGUCGAUAAUCUCUAGAAAAUAUUCCAUUUCGAGACGCAUCUUUUUGAGAAAUAAACCACAUGUGGAAAUAGGUUUCCACAUGCUGACCAUAACUUGAGGUGGCUACUGCCGUGUCCGCAGCUGGCACACAAUUUGAAUCGGACGACUUGUGCAUGCAAGCCAUUGGUUGCAAGUGGUGUGGCUGUCAACUGUGCCUGAGGGCCACGAUACGACAGCGUACCUUCAAGGCGCGCAAGUUAAAAUGGAGUAUAAACUAGUUGCCACAGAGAUCAUGCAAUAAUAAUUUAAUGUUGCACAAUUUUUGCCAUUCUACUUUGGCUCUGU